rnacentral:rRNA from 1 species
GAUGAACGCUUGCGGCAGGCUUAAUACACGCAAGUCGAACGGUAACAGACCUUCGGGUGCUGACGAGUGGCGGAUGGGUGAGUAACGCGUAUGCAACCUACCUCACACCGAGAACAAGUCGACUGAAAAGUUGAAUAAAGUCUCGUGGUGUACAUCCCUCGCAUGAGGGGUGUAUGAUAGAAGUAAUUUGGUGUGAGAUGGGCAUGCGUAUCAUUAGCUAGUUGGCGGGGUAAUAGCCCACCAAGGCGACGAUGAUUCGGGGGCCUGAGAGGGUGGUCCCCCACACUGGGACUGAGACACGGCCCAGACUCCUACGGGAGGCAGCAGUAGGGAAUAUUGGUCAAUGGGCGGAAGCCUGAACCAGCCAUGCCGCGUGAUGGAUGACGGCCUUAGGGUUGUAAACAUCUUUUCUACUAGAGGAAUAGAGUCCACGUGUGGACAG